AUAUCAAUAAGCGGAGGAAAAGAAACUAACAAGGAUUCCCCUAGUAACGGCGAGCGAAGCGGGAAGAGCUCAAAUUUGAAAGCUGGCACCUCCGGUGUCCGCGUUGUAAUCUCGAGACGUGUUUUCCGUGCGGCUCUAUGGACAAGUCCCUUGGAAUAGGGCAUCGUAGAGGGUGAGAAUCCCGUACUUGCCAUGGAAGAACCGUGCUUUGCGAUACACGCUCUAAGAGUCGAGUUGUUUGGGAUUGCAGCUCAAAAUGGGUGGUAGACUCCAUCUAAAGCUAAAUAUCGGGGAGAGACCGAUAGCGAACAAGUACCGUGAGGGAAAGAUGAAAAGCACUUUGGAAAGAGAGUUAAAAGUACGUGAAAUUGUCGAAAGGGAAGCACUUGAAGUCAGCCAUGCUGCUUGAGACUCAGCCUGGCCUUUGGGCUUGGUGUAUUUCUCGGUGGCAAGCCAGCAUUGGUUUGGGUCGUCGGAGAAGCGCAUAGGGAAUGUAGCGUCUCCGGACGUGUUAUAGCCUUAUGCAGGAUACGACGACCUGGAUCAAGGAACGCAGUGUGCCCUCUGGGCGGGUCUUCGGACACCUUCACACUUAGGAUGCUGGCGUAAUGGCUUUAAGUGG
rnacentral:rRNA from 1 species